AUAGAGACUCAGAGCUGCAUAUCAAUAAGCGGAGGAAAAGAAACUAACUAGGAUUCCCUCAGUAACGGCGAGUGAAGCGGGAAGAGCUCAAAUUUGAAAUCUUCAAGGUUCUACCUUGACGAAUUGUAGUUUAAAGAAGUGUUUUCUGUUGGAGUUUUGGUAAAAGUUCUUUGGAAUAGGACAUCAUAGAGGGUGAGAAUCCCGUAUUUGACCAUUAUUUCCAGCUUUGUGAUACACUUUCAAAGAGUCGGAUUGUUUGGGAAUGCAGUCCAAAAUGGGUGGUAAAUUUCAUCUAAAGCUAAAUAUUGGCGAGAGACCGAUAGCGAACAAGUACCUGUGAGGGAAAGAUGAAAAGAACUUUGAAAAGAGAGUUAAACAGUACGUGAAAUUGUCAAAAGGGAAGCGUUUGACACCAGUGUUGUUUUUCUCGAAAAUCAAUUACAAAAUGACUGGAUUUUGUGUUGUAUUGACCUUUAUCAGCUUUCUGCACUCUUUUUCUAGUCUUUUCUUAAUGCACUUUUCGUUUAACAAGUCAACAUCAAUUUCCUUUUGUUGUAAAAGGAGUCAUUGGAAGGUGGCUUUCCUUUUCGGUAGAAAGUGUUUAUAGCCUUUGGCCUCUGCAAUCGGAGAGAUUGAGGCCAGCAGCGUAGACUCCUUCUGGGGUUAGAUACACUUGUGCUAAGCUAUAGCCUUGUAUAGACAACUUGUUGACUAUGCUCAGUCAUGUAGCUUACUCGCUUGUGCUAUUUUACCUACGCUUAGGAUGUUGAAGUCAUCGUAUCGCGC
rnacentral:rRNA from 1 species